GACGAACGCUGGCGGCGUGCUUAACACAUGCAAGUCGAGCGGAAAGGCCCUUUCGGGGGUACUCGAGCGGCGAACGGGUGAGUAACACGUGAGCAACCUGCCCUUCACUUUGGGAUAACCAUCGGAAACGGUGGCUAAUACCGGAUACGACGCUCCACCGCAUGGUGUGGGUGUGGAAAGUUUUUCGGUGGGGGAUGGGCUCGCGGCCUAUCAGCUUGUUGGUGGGGUGAUGGCCUACCAAGGCGAUGACGGGUAGCCGGCCUGAGAGGGCGACCGGCCACACUGGGACUGAGACACGGCCCAGACUCCUACGGGAGGCAGCAGUGGGGAAUAUUGCGCAAUGGGCGAAAGCCUGACGCAGCGACGCCGCGUGAGGGAUGACGGCCUUCGGGUUGUAAACCUCUUUCAGCAGGGACGAAGCGAUAGUGACGGUACCUGCAGAAGAAGCACCGGCCAACUACGUGCCAGCCGCCGCGGUAA
rnacentral:rRNA from 1 species